rnacentral:rRNA from 1 species
ACUACGGGUGGCUGCAGUGGGGAAUAUUGGACAAUGGGCGAAAGCCUGAUCCAGCCAUGCCGCGUGUGUGAAGAAGGCCUUCGGGUUGUAAAGCACUUUCAGUGGGGAAGAAAGCCUUGGGGCUAAUACCCUCGAGGAAGGACAUCACCCACAGAAGAAGCACCGGCUAACUCCGUGCCAGCAGCCGCGGUAAUACAGGAGGGUGCGAGCGUUAAUCGGAAUUACUGGGCGUAAAGCGCGCGUAGGCGGUCUGAUAAGCCGGUUGUGAAAGCCCCGGGCUCAACCUGGGAACGGCAUCCGGAACUGUCAGGCUAGAGUGCAGGAGAGGAAGGUAGAAUUCCCGGUGUAGCGGUGAAAUGCGUAGAGAUCGGGAGGAAUACCAGUGGCGAAGGCGGCCUUCUGGACUGACACUGACGCUGAGGUGCGAAAGCGUGGGUAGCAAACAGGAUUAGAUACCCCAGUAGUC